CCCCUAGAUGUUCUGGGCCGCACGCGCGCUACACUGAACAGUUCAACAAGUCUUAACCUUGGCCGAUAGGUCUGGGUAAUCUUUGAACGCUGUUCGUGAUUGGGAUAGACCUUUGCAAUUAUGGGUCUUCAACGAGGAAUUCCUAGUAAACGCAAGUCAUCAGCUUGCAUUGAUUACGUCCCUGCCCUUUGUACACACCGCCCGUCGCACCCACCGAUUGAAUGGUCCGGUGAAAUCUCGGGACGGCGGCUUGGUCGCUUGCGUCCGACUGCUGAAACUUGAUUAAACCAUAUCAUUUAGAGGAAGGUGAANUCGUAACA
rnacentral:rRNA from 1 species